ACUCUCCUAGUACAAAUAGUACAAAUGGCUUCCAACCAUUAAAUCUUAGUUAUUAACCUAAGGGGGAGUA
rnacentral:tRNA from 1 species